ACUACGGGCGGCAGCAGUGAGGAAUAUUGGUCAAUGGACGAGAGUCUGAACCAGCCAAGUAGCGUGAAGGAUGAAUGUCCUAUGGGUUGUAAACUUCUUUUAUAUGGGAAUAAAAUGAUCCACGUGUGGGAUUUUGUAUGUACCAUAUGAAUAAGGGUCGGCUACCUCCGUGCCAGCAGCCGCGGUAAUGCGGAGGAUACGAGCGUUGUCCGGAUUUGUUGGGUUUAACGGGAUCGUAGGUGGAAUGUUAAGUCAGUUGUGAAAGUUUGCGGCUCAACGUGAAAAUUGCAGUUGAAACUGGCAGUCUUGAGUAUAGUAGAGGUGGGCGGAAUUCGUGGUGUAGCGGUGAAAUGCUUAGAUAUCACGAAGAACUCCGAUUGCGAAGGCAGCUCACUGGACUGCAACUGACACUGAGGCUCGAAAGCGUGGGUAUCAAACAGGAUUAGAUACCCCGGUAGUC
rnacentral:rRNA from 1 species